rnacentral:rRNA from 1 species
GAUGAACGCUGGCGGCGUGCCUAACACAUGCAAGUCGAACGGAGUCGUUUUGGAAAUCUCUUCGGAGAUGGAAUUCUCGACUUAGUGGCGGACGGGUGAUUAACGCGUGAGCAAUCUGCCUUUAAGAGGGGGAUAACAGUCGGAAACGGCUGCUAAUACCGCAUAAAGCAUUAAAUUCGCAUGUUUUUGAUGCCAAAGGAGCAAUCCGCUUUUAGAUGAGCUCGCGUCUGAUUAGCUAGUUGGCGGGGUAACGGCCCACCAAGGCGACGAUCAGUAGCCGGACUGAGAGGUUGAACGGCCACAUUGGGACUGAGACACGGCCCAGACUCCUACGGGAGGCAGCAGUGGGGAAUAUUGCGCAAUGGGGGAAACCCUGACGCAGCAACGCCGCGUGAUUGAAGAAGGCCUUCGGGUUGUAAAGAUCUUUAAUCAGGGACGAAACAAAUGACGGUACCUGAAGAAUAAGCUCCGGCUAACUACGU